rnacentral:rRNA from 1 species
GAUGAACGCUGGCGGCGUGCCUAACACAUGCAAGUCGAGCGUGAUUGUUAUGAGUGGCGACUUCGGUCAAAGCGAGUAACAUGAAAGCGGCGGACGGGUGAGUAACGCGUGGGCAACCUGCCCCAUACACGAGGAUAGCCACUGGAAACGGUGAUUAAUACUCGAUAAGACCACGACACCACAUGGUGAUGUGGCCAAAGAUUUAUCGGUAUGGGAUGGGGCCCGCGUCUGAUUAGCUAGUUGGUAAGGUAACGGCUUACCAAGGCGACGAUCAGUAACCGACCUGAGAGGGCGGACGGUCACACUGGAACUGAGACACGGUCCAGACUCCUACGGGUGGCAG